rnacentral:rRNA from 1 species
GAUGAACGCUGGCGGCGUGCCUAACACAUGCAAGUCGAACGGAGAUUACGGACGGAAGUUUUCGGAUGGAAGACUGUAAUUCUUAGUGGCGGACGGGUGAGUAACGCGUGGGCAACCUGCCCUAUACAGGGGGAUAGCAGCUGGAAACGGCUGGUAAGACCGCAUAAGUCGGCGAGACCGCAUGGUUUUGCCGGGAAAUGAGCAAUCAGGUAUAGGAUGGGCCCGCGUCCGAUUAGCCAGUUGGCAGGGUAAAAGCCUACCAAAGCAACGAUCGGUAGCCGGACUGAGAGGUCGGACGGCCACAUUGGGACUGAGACACGGCCCAAACUCCUACGGGAGGCAGCAGUGGGGGAUAUUGCACAAUGGAGGAAACUCUGAUGCAGCGACGCCGCGUGAGUGAAGAAGUAUUUCGGUAUGUAAAGCUCUAUUACCCGGGAUGAUAAUGACAGUACCGGGAGAAUAAGCUCCGGCUAACUCCGUG